AUUAGAUAGAAAAAACAAGGAAUCAGGCCCAUCUUUAGAAUCCAAUUUUUUCAGCAUAUUGUAUUAAACGGUAGCAGUGACAGGAUUUAUGCUGAUUGCUGUUUGUAUUUAUGAAUACGCCUCGAUAAUAACCAGUCACUCAGAGAGUGGAUAGAUAAACACACAGGCAUCAAUCUCCCUAACAGAGCAGUAUACUAUUGUAUGACAGCGACAAGAACAAUGGCAAGUGGGAAUGUUUCCGUUUGUUUGUAAUGCCUGCUAAUGAAACUGACUCUCUGGCUGCUUGGGUCCUGUAAUGUAUGACAGCUGUACGUCGGCCAUUUUAAAACACAGCUCCUCUAUGUAAAAGAGGCUCCUUUUCUACUACAUUUUCACUCUCUUUCUAAAUGGAAGACUUUGUCAAGUGUCAUAAAAAGACGUCGCUUUAGGCGUAAACACAAACAAAUGUACACACCCCGAAGAAAUGUAGUUUUUUUUGGAAGGAGUACAAGGUUUUAUCAGAGAGAAAGCCGGAGGGGGUGGUGGUGGGGGGUGGGGGUGGGGGUGUUGGAAUAAGGAGAGUAUUAGACUGCUCUGCGGUCACCCUGGUAUGCAGACAGCCUUGAAAGCACUACAGUACCUGUUGCAUCUUGCACAAUUCAGAUUCUGAAAUGUAAAAUUGAACCAGUUAUCCAAAGGAGGCUUGUUUUUAUCAAUUUACUGUGGGACUGCAUGGGACAUCAGACGUAUUGCUAUCACUAGGUGUUCAAUGACAUCGUUGAUAUGAUAUAUAAUAUACUAAAGAAAAUGGCAAAUGAAAGUGACAGCAGUUAGCUGCUUUAUCUACACUACAGUCUCAACACUACUCUUUAUCUACACUACAGUCUCAACACUAUUCUAUAUCUACCCUAUAGUCUCAACACUACUCUUUAUCUACACUACAGUCUCAACACUACUCUUUAUCUACACUACAGUCUCAACACUACUCCUUAUCUACACUACAGUCUCAACACUACUCUUUAUUUACAGUCUCAACACUACUCUUUAUUUACAGUCUCAACACUACUCUUUAUCUACAGUCUCAACACUAAUCAUUCUAAAUGUUUGCUGCAAAGUAAGUAAUGGAUAUAGUAGGUUUAUUUUAUUUAUGUAUAUACUGUUUAUGGAGUUGUAA
rnacentral:lncRNA from 13 species